AUGAACGCUGGCGGCGUGCCUUAUACAUGCAAGUCGAGCGAACAGAUAAGGAGCUUGCUCCUUUGACGUUAGCGGCGGACGGGUGAGUAACACGUGGGUAACCUACCUAUAAGACUGGGAUAACUUCGGGAAACCGGAGCUAAUACCGGAUAACAUUUGGAACCGCAUGGUUCUAAAGUGAAAGAUGGUUUUGCUAUCACUUAUAGAUGGACCCGCGCCGUAUUAGCUAGUUGGUAAGGUAACGGCUUACCAAGGCGACGAUGCGUAGCCGACCUGAGAGGGUGAUCGGCCACACUGGAACUGAGACACGGUCCAGACUCCUACGGGAGGCAGCAGUAGGGAAUCUUCCGCAAUGGGCGAAAGCCUUACGGAGCAACGCCGCGUGAGUGAUGAAGGGUUUCGGCUCGUAAAACUCUGUUAUUAGGGAAGAACAAAUGUGUAAGUAACUGUGCACGUCUUGACGGUACCUAAUCAGAAACCCACGGCUAACUACGUGCCAGCAGCCGCGGUAAUACGUAGGUGGCAAGCGUUAUCCGGAAUUAUUGGGCGUAAAGCGCGCGUAGGCGGUUUCUUAAGUCUCAUGUGAAAGCCCACGGCUCAACCGUGGAGGGUCAUUGGAAAUUGGGAAA
rnacentral:rRNA from 1 species